ensembl:snoRNA SNORD115 Small nucleolar RNA SNORD115
GAGUCGAUGAUGAGACCUCAUACUGUCUCGAAAAAAUAUGAUGACUUAAAAAUCAUGCUCAAUAGGGUUAUGCUGAGGCCC